ensembl:lncRNA
GGAGAACCCACAGGGCUGUCACAGUGACCCGAGCAAGGACUGAGCUGCCCGCUCGCGAGAGCAGGGGAUGGGGGCGGACAGAUGGACAGACUGGAGGCCUGUUUCGAAUUUAGCGUCUUCGAGGUAGGCUGGAGAAGAGGGGGACCCCAGGAUGCCCGUGGAGGGGGGGGGUCACUGGCACGAGUGACCAGGCGUUUGGUGGCUCCGCUUUCUGAGUAGGGGCCACGGGUCUCGUGCGGCUUUGUCGAGAAGGCCCCGGAUCCCAGAGCCUGCGAGGCUCCGACUGCCCAGCAGCCGGGCGCGCCUCGGGCCGUCGGAGCAGGGCCGGACGCGCAGGGACCGCCAGCCGGUCACUACGGCCCAGCCUCGGCCUGAGGACAGACGGGCCAGACGCGGAGGCUGCAGGAGGCCCCGCGCCCGGCAGGUUCACGGCGGUAACCAGGAGGGGCCCCAGGCGGCAGCAUCCUCGCGACCCCAAACCCCGGGGAGGAGGCGCAGGGGGCGCGUCCUGACGCAUCUUCCAGACGCCUUGGACCUCCCAAGGCUGCCUUCUCAGCGCUGCCUCCUUCACAAGCCCUAGUAACGGGAAGUAAACGUAACCACAGAGAAUGUCACAUCAGAUGCUGGGCUUAAUCAGGGCCACGUUCUCAUCGGUCCGGCUGUUCGACUUCUCGGAGGACUCGGCGCCUCAUUCUGCACACGGAGGCAUUUUCCAGUGCAAUCGAGGGAAAGAAAAAAGAGAGGAAGGGACGGAGGGAGGGAAAGGAGAGGAAGGAGAGAGGGGACGUCGGACCCAGAUGAGACCCGAGGUCCUGGAUCCGCUCCGCGCUGUGCUCCCGGGCCCAUCAUCAGCCGCUUCGCCUGCGGGCGUCUCUGAGCCCUCGUGCUGCGCGAUGGGGCGCCGGGCACACGCGCCCCCCGCCUCCUGGGGCGCCGGGGACUGUCGGUGGCCCAGACCCCCGGCUUCAUCAUCACCAGCACGACAGCCCCGCGGCCCCGCGCCGUCGGGAGUGCCCGCCCCGGCCGGCCGCCCCCCAGACCCCGGGGGCAGCGCCGCUCCGGCCCCGCCCGGCUGCGGAGGACACGCAGGGACAGGAGCACUUUCCCGCGUGGACGCGGCCUGGGGAGCAGGGACGGGCCGCCAGCGCUCCCGCCCCCGGCCCCUCUUUCUCCAAGGAGGCAGCCGGAAGGAGCUGGCUGUUCCAUGUUGGGGACAAAUAGACGAUUGGUCCCCGGGUGGCCUUGGCCUUGAGAGGACCGACCUGGCUGUAAAUAGAGGGCUCGCGGGGCGGCCGGGCCUCCGUUUCCUGUGAGUCCAGCUUCUGGGAGGAGCAGAGCGGGCACCUGGAGCCGCGAACCUCCGCCUGGCCUCGCAGGGGAGACCCUGCGCCGCCCCCGCCGGCCCCCACCCGCCCCCUCCCCGUCGAGAGGCAGAGGCCGGCUGCACGUGGCGGUGCCUCCAUCGUCACAGCCACAGGCGGGUCCUCGAGACGCGCCCGACCGCGUCCAGGAGCGCAGGUCGGCCCGCGUGUGAGAAUGGCACGCCUCUUGCUGUGGGUGAUUGUGCAUCCAGGACAAAAAAAAUAAAUUAAAAAGUGCCUUACGGACGGAUGCUGUAGGGCUCCUUUUAUUAUUACACACUCACAACUACACAACGCAGUGAGCCGCCAUUCCUCACUGUAAGGCACGUUCCGGCUUCGGUGAAAAAGUGAUUUUGCAUUCUUUGCCAAAACCCUGCCUUAUCUUUCUCUCAAGACAAGCCUGGUCCUUGUGACUUCGGCUUAUGGGAACCACUGAUGGGGAAGAUGGGAAUGUUUGAAGGUCCUUGUUUCUCCUACAAUACACACACAGUGAUAGGUCCGGCAGGGACUGUGUGCCUCUGGCUAAAAGCAGAUUUCUCCGCUAAGAGCCGAUACAGCCACUGAUGGAAAGCACUCAUUCAGGGGCCACUGAGGACGCAGGGAAAGAUAAAUGAUAAAGAGGCAAUCGAUUUCAGCUGGCUUCAGCCUGUGACGUCUCCAUGCUCACAGGCAGCCUCAGUGCAAUUUACGCAGCGUCAGGGGAUCACCCAGCACGCCGUGACCCAAACCGAGUUCUGCAGAAGCAAGAAGAAAGGUAGACCACCUGUGCUGUGAAUUCAGUGUCUGAUUCUUAAGGUCUUCCCACCAUCCAUUACUCCUCGAACUUGAGAGCAAGAAGUCCUCCAAAACCCUUGCCGACAGCCUGAUUCGUGGCUCCAAGGAUCGGAGAAGGUGGAUCCUGAUCUGGCCUGGGAUAGCUGAAAAAGAAGGAAAAGCCUUGCUUUCAUGAAAAAUAGCUAUCAUGGGCUGGAGUGUGUCCCCCCAAAAUUCAUGUGGUGGUCUUCACUCCCAGGACCUCAGAACGUGAGUGUAUUUGGAGACAGGAUCUUUAAAGAGGUGAUUAAGGUUAAAUGAGGUCAUGAGGGCGGGUCCUAAGCCAAUACCACUGGUGGCCUUAUAAGAGAUUAAGACGCACACAGAGGAAAGACCGUGUGAAGACACAGGGAGAAGACAGCCAUCCACGAGCCAAGGUGAGGCCUCCGAAGAAACAGCCCUGCUGACCCCUUGAUCUUGGACUUCCAGCUUCCAGAACUGUGAGCAAAUCCAUUUCUAUCGUCUCAGUGUCCCAGUCUGUGACCUCCGUUACUUAUUGUUACCUAGCAGACCAACACAACAGCUAUCUUGCCUUUAACUCGGGUCCUGUUCUCUGGAAGCUGACAUUGCUUAGACGCAUGCAGCCCAUGAGUGAAAUAUGACAUGACGUGGUCCUACAUCAAAGUCAAGGCCGAGAGAAAUUUGAACUGGAGCUGAAGUGUUCAAUUUGCACCUGGGCAGACAGCGCUUCUAUAAAAUGUGUUGUCCCUAAAGAGCCCCAAAUGAUC